GUAUAAACCGGCCACCAGCAGCACCCUAUGUAUGCAUGUUCAGGUGAGUGCAGCCCCCUUGGUUCAUAUAUAUCUAUGGUAUAUAUAUAUAUAUACAUAUAUAUAUAUAUAUAUAUAUAUAUAUAUAUAUAUAUAAAAUUGUAUGUGUGUCUCUUAGGGAGUU